GGCUGAAUCGAGCGUCGUAGCACGAAUUCUUAGUGCUGGCCGCCGGAAGAGAGGGUAGAGGGAGCAGCGGCACAGAUUCCGCGGGUCUAGGGUGGCUCCACAGGCCAAGGUAGAACUGGACAGGCGAAAGAGAACCAGCGUCGCCUUAAGCCGCAGUGCUGAUGCAAGUUAAAGGACUGCUUCUCCGGGAUCGCCGCAGUAGGCUUCU
rnacentral:lncRNA from 1 species